GUUGUAUGGUUAAGUGACUAAGCGUACACGGUGGAUGCCUGGGCAGUCAGAGGCGAUGAAGGACGUACUAACUUGCGAUAAGCGCAGAUAAGGCAGUAAGAGCCGUUUGAGUCUGCGAUUUCCGAAUGGGGAAACCCAACUGCAUAAGCAGUUACUGUUAACUGAAUACAUAGGUUAACAGAGCAAACCGGGGGAACUGAAACAUCUAAGUACCCCGAGGAGAAGAAAUCAACCGAGAUUCCGGUAGUAGCGGCGAGCGAACCUGGAUUAGCCCUUAAGCACUCGGUGAAGUAGGUGAACAAGCUGGAAAGCUUGGCGAUACAGGGUGAUAGCCCCGUAACCGACGCUUCAUCGAGCGUGAAAUCGAGUAGGGCGGGACACGUGAUAUCCUGUCUGAAUAUGGGGGGACCAUCCUCCAAGGCUAAAUACUCCUGACUGACCGAUAGUGAACCAGUACCGUGAGGGAAAGGCGAAAAGAACCCCUGUGAGGGGAGUGAAAUAGAACCUGAAACCGUGUACGUACAAGCAGUAGGAGCACCUUCGUGGUGUGACUGCGUACCUUUUGUAUAAUGGGUCAGCGACUUAUAUUCAGUGGCAAGGUUAACCGUAUAGGGGAGCCGUAGCGAAAGCGAGUCUUAACUGGGCGCUCAGUCUCUGGAUAUAGACCCGAAACCGGGUGAUCUAGCCAUGGGCAGGUUGAAGGUUGAGUAACAUCAACUGGAGGACCGAACCGACUAAUGUUGAAAAAUUAGCGGAUGACUUGUGGCUAGGGGUGAAAGGCCAAUCAAACUCGGAGAUAGCUGGUUCUCCCCGAAAGCUAUUUAGGUAGCGCCUCGGACGAAUACUACUGGGGGUAGAGCACUGUUAAGGCUAGGGGGUCAUCCCGACUUACCAACCCUUUGCAAACUCCGAAUACCAGUAAGUACUAUCCGGGAGACACACGGCGGGUGCUAACGUCCGUCGUGGAGAGGGAAACAACCCAGACCGCCAGCUAAGGUCCCAAAGUAUUGCUAAGUGGGAAACGAUGUGGGAAGGCUCAGACAGCUAGGAUGUUGGCUUAGAAGCAGCCAUCAUUUAAAGAAAGCGUAAUAGCUCACUAGUCGAGUCGGCCUGCGCGGAAGAUGUAACGGGGCUAAGCAAUACACCGAAGCUGCGGCAAU
rnacentral:rRNA from 2 species